rnacentral:rRNA from 1 species
CACGUAAUUUGCCGGUGCUUAUUCAAGCCCUACAGUCACCACACAAUCAUUCCCUACUGUGCUUAUUCCUCAGGCUUAAAAGGAUUUUACAACCUUUCGGCAUUCUUCAUCCACGCGGCGUCGCUCCGUCAGACUUUCGUCCAUUGCGGAGUAUUCUUAACUGCUGCCUCCCGUAGAAGUCUGGGCCGUAUCUCAGUCCCAAUGUGUCCGUCCACCCUCUCAGGCCGGAUACCCAUCAUCGCCUUGGUGGGCCGUUACCUCACCAACGAGCAUAAUGGGCCGCGGGCCAUUCUUUAGCGAAGCCUUAGCUCCUUUCCUCGUAUCCCUCUAACAGAUACGGUCACAUUCGGUAUUACCUACUAUUUCUAAUAGCUAUCCCCAUCUAAAAGGUAUGUCACCCACGUGUUACUCACCAGUCCCGCCACUCUCAGAAAGGAGCAAGCUCCUUCCUUACCGUUCACUUGCAUGUUUAAGACGCGCCGCCAGCGUUCGUUCUGAGCCAGGAUCAAACU